AAUAGAUACCCAGGUAGUCCACGCCCUAAACGAUGCCAACUGGACGUUGGGCUCACUUCGGAGCUCAGUGUCGAAGCUAACGCGUUAAGUUGGCCGCCUGGGGAGUACGGUCGCAAGACUGAAACUCAAAGGAAUUGACGGGGGCCCGCACAAGCGGUGGAGUAUGUGGUUUAAUUCGAUGCAACGCGCAGAACCUUACCUAGCCUUGACAUCCACGGAACUUUCCAGAGAUGGAUUGGUGCCUUCGGGAACCGUGAGACAGGUGCUGCAUGGCUGUCGUCAGCUCGUGUCGUGAGAUGUUGGGUUAAGUCCCGCAACGAGCGCAACCCUUGUCCUUAGUUGCCAGCGCGUAAUGGCGGGAACUCUAAGGAGACUGCCGGUGACAAACCGGAGGAAGUGGGAUGACGUCAAGUCAUCAUGGCCCUUAGGCCAGGGCUACACACGUACUACAAUGGUGGGGACAGAGGGCUGCGAACUCGCGAGAGCCAGCCAAUCCCAGAAACCCCAUCUCAGUCCGGAUCGGAGU
rnacentral:rRNA from 1 species